rnacentral:lncRNA from 1 species
UGUGGAUUGUGUUGCGAGCAAUGGAUGCGAGAUCGUUAGGUUUGGGCAAAUUUCCACGCGAGGAGCUAGGAAUGGAGAGGAUGCCGAGAGCCAGGAGAAUUAGAACGAGGAAGGUGAAGACCAGGAACAGAGUCAGAAUCAGCGUGGAAGACGACGAUGACUUGCGAGGUGGAAGACGAGAGUACCUUGGUUUCGCCAUUGUUUUGAGCUCAGAUCGACGAGAUCUGAAAUUAUUCGAUGAGACGUAGAUUUGAUUUUGAUUUUGA